rnacentral:rRNA from 1 species
ACCUCGGAUCAGGUAGGGAUACCCGCUGAACUUAAGCAUAUCAAUAAGCGGAGGAAAAGAAACCAACAGGGAUUACCUCAGUAACGGCGAGUGAAGCGGUAACAGCUCAAAUUUGAAAUCUGGCUCUUUCAGGGUCCGAGUUGUAAUUUGUAGAAGAUGCUUUGGGUGUGGCCCUGGUCUAAGUUCCUUGGAACAGGACGUCAUAGAGGGUGAGAAUCCCGUAUGUGACUAGNUGCUUUCGCCCGUGUAAAGCUCUUUNGACGAGUCGAGUUGUUUGGGAAUGCAGCUCAAAAUGGGUGGUAAAUUUCAUCUAAAGCUAAAUAUUGGCCAGAGACCGAUAGCGCACAAGUAGAGUGAUCGAAAGAUGAAAAGCACUUUGGAAAGAGAGUUAAACAGUACGUGAAAUUGUUGAAAGGGAAGCGCUUGCAACCAGACUUAGUUGCGGCCGAUCAUNUAGGGUUCUCCNUGGUGCACUCGGUCGUAUCUAGGCCAGCAUCGGUUUGGGUGGUGGGAUAAAGGCCUUGGGAAUGUAGCUUCUUUCGGGGAGUG